ACCCAGGCACGACUCGCCGUCCCGGUCGCCGACUACGGCGGUCAGGAUGAGGGGGACCGACCUGGCGCACAACCCUGAGGGA
rfam:Corynebacterium glyciniphilum AJ 3170, complete genome.